rnacentral:rRNA from 1 species
GUGUCAGCCGCCGCGGUAAAACGUAGGAGGCGAGCGUUAUCCGGAUUUACUGGGCGUAAAGCGCACGCAGGUGGCUUCGUAAGUCGGACAUGAAAGCUCCUGGCUUAACUGGGAGAGGUUGUUCGAUACUGCGGGGCUUGAGGUUGGGAGAGGGACGUGGAAUUCCCGGUGUAGUGGUGGAAUGCGUAGAUAUCGGGAGGAACACCAGUGGCGCAAGCGGCGUCCUGGCCCACACCUGACGCUGAGGUGCGAAAGCGUGGGGAGCAAACAGGAUUAGAUACCCCCGUAGUCC